GAGCGACGAACCGGGGCUUGCCCCGGGGCAGAGCCGCGAACGGGUGAGUAACACGUGGGUUACCUGCCCUGAUGACCGGGACAACCCGUCGAAAGACGGGCUAAUACCGGAUGUGCCCGCAAGGGGAAAGGAGGCGUAAGCUUCCGCAUCGGGAUGGGCCCGCGGAGCAUUAGCUUGUUGGUGAGGUAAAAGCUCACCAAGGCUUCGAUGCUUAGCUGGUCUGAGAGGACGAUCAGCCACACUGGGACUGAGACACGGCCCAGACUCCUACGGGAGGCAGCAGUGGGGAAUCUUGCGCAAUGCACGAAAGUGUGACG
rnacentral:rRNA from 1 species